UUUACCACGUGUGACCAGGGGGACCUGUGAGGUCCGGAGGCGACUCCGAGGAGGAGCACACGAAGUCCUGUGCUUCCCUGCCUCUGUGACCCCAGCAGAGCUCCGCACCCUGGAAGAGGCCGCCCUUCCAUCUUGGCAGAGUUGCUCCCUUCGGAAGGGCAGAGAUGCCUCCCCCGUCUGCCCAAGAUCGCCGUCCUCCUCCUUAAACCCCGACUGAUGGAAAACAGAAACCACUACAGGAACGGGAAGAGGAGGCAUCUGAAACACCCCCAAACCUUGGAUGCUGCUUAGGACUUCAGAAUUCAAAAGGCAGAAGCCAAGGUGACCAGGGGAACAAGCGGAACAGAUUUCGGUGCCUGCCUCCCACCCUGCCUGCUGGCCCAGAGCCCUCCCCAGGAGGGCCACACAUCCUGUGGCCAGACAGCCCCGCAGAAGGCCGAGGGGACUGUGGGGCCGUCCGUCAGAUGGCCAGCUGCCCUUGGCCUCCUCCUAUGUUACUUCCCUGGACUGCAAGGGAGCGAGGGAACAACAACAAAACUGGAAGGAAUGACAGUUAAAAUACUCUAUGAGAAACUGGUGUAGACAGAAGUCUUUUUCUUACGACCCACCGGCAUCCACCGGGAGAGCUGGCUGGAAAUCAAACGUCUCUGCUCUUAAGCCCCGUCCUGCCUUGGAAUCGUGAAGAUAAAGCCAACAGCAACAACAAAAUGAGAUAAAGAGACACCCCCCGCGGGGCUCCCCUGGCCCCAUGGGGGUCCGUCUGACUUUGGCACCCAGUUGACAGACCCUUUCGGGCCCAGUGGAGUGGCCCCCUGGGACAGGGCCCUGCAUAGUCACACCAGGGAUACUGGCUGUUUCCCUGGCUUGGGGGUUAUAGCAAAGCACCACAGGCUGGGGGAGGCUUAGACAACAAGGCACAUACUUCUCACCGUUCUGGAAGCCAGAAGUCCAAGAUCAAGGUGCCCAUGGGUUCCGUUCUCUGAGAGGACUCUCUUCCUGGCUUGUCAACGGGCCACCUUCCCCCUGGGUCCCCACAUGAGGGAGACAGAAGGCUGUCUUUUCCCCUUCUUGUGAGGACACCGAUCCCAUCAUGGGGGCCCCCACCCCCGUGACCUCAUCUCAACCUACGUGCCUCCCAGAGUCCCAACUGCCCAAAUGCCAUCCCACUGGGGACUAGGGCUUCAAUGUACAGAUGUCAGGGGGACACAAAUGUUGGGUCCACGGCCCCGGUUCCUGCUGGGCUUUGCUUUUUCUCAACACAUCACUGCAUGGGCUGCAGUGGUCCCAGCAGUGAGGAUGGACCCAACUGGCCACUCCCCACCGAGGCUCCCAGGGUGCAGUUCACAGUAGGUCCUGGAGCCCCAUGUCCCGGCAGUCGUGGCGUCAUGGACGCAAACCUGGGGGCCCCUGUUCCCCAAGAAUCUGUGUCCAUGGCUUAGCAGGUUUCCUCUUAAUCCUUCAAAGAUAAAGGGCCCGCCUCCACCCCUCUCCCCACAGUCCCACGCAGGUGCUGCCACCUGCCAAUGCGGGGACACUGGCGGGCGUGGGAACAGGAACCUUCAGUAGCUCUGGGGGGCUUUCUGGUGUCCCCCAGGCCCCCAUACACCCAUUCCAUCCAAGGCAUCAUUUCCUAACUCACAGGGGAGUUAAAAGCCUAAAAAAAAAAAUCCCUCCUGACUCCUCUGGAAUUUCAAUGGACCGCCUCCUCCCUACGGCCCCCAUUCCAGAAUUUUCUCCUCAGGCUUCAUCCUUCUUUCCAUAAGGAGGCCCUCUCCUAUGGCCCCACCCCCAAAGGGCCGGAGAGAAGGGCCCCCUGGCAGGUGCCAGUCUACAUGACUGGAUCCCUCCCUCCCCGCCGGAGAGGCUCAGGGGACGCUGCCCUCACCCCAGCCCAGCCCAGCCUGUGCCACGUUGCCCUUCCUUGGGAACAUUUUCUCAAAGCGCUUCUAGGGGUGCCUUGGUGGCUCAGUCAGUUAUGAUCUCACAGUUGAUGAGUCCAAGCCCCACACUGGGCCCUGUACUGACAGCUCAGAGAGCCUGGAGGCUACUUUGGAUUCCAUCUCCCUCUCUCUCUACCCCUCCCUGCAUCAAAAAUAAAUACACAUUAAAACAAAAAAUUCUAGGCACUUCUGAAGAGCCAGGUCACCUCCCUCCGCC